GACGAACGCUGGCGGCGUGCUUAACACAUGCAAGUCGAACGGUGAAGGGGUCUGCUUUUGUGGGCCCUGGAUGAGUGGCGAACGGGUGAGUAACACGUGAGUAACCUGCCCCCUUCUUCUGGAUAACCGCAUGAAAGUGUGGCUAAUACGGGAUAUUCUGGGUCUGUCGCAUGAUGGGUCUGGGAAAGAUUGCGCCUUUGGGUGUUUUUGGUGGGGAAUGGGCUCGCGGCCUAUCAGCUUGUUGGUGGGGUGAUGGCCUACCAAGGCGGUGACGGGUAGCCGGCCUGAGAGGGUGGACGGUCACACUGGGACUGAGACACGGCCCAGACUCCUACGGGAGGCAGCAGUGGGGAAUAUUGCACAAUGGGCGCAAGCCUGAUGCAGCGACGCCGCGUGAGGGUUGGAGGCCUUCGGGUUGUAAACCUCUUUCGCCAGUGAAGCAGGCCUGCUCCUUGUGGGUGGGUUGACGGUAGCUGGAUAAGAAGCGCCGGCUAACUACGUG
rnacentral:rRNA from 1 species